rnacentral:antisense_RNA from 1 species
CUCAAUGGGGCGGGCCGUGCGGGAGGUGCGCGAGCACCUGCCGGUUCCUAUGUCCGGUUCGCCAACCUGCACGGCUCCGCUCCACCCGU